ensembl:lncRNA
GUAUGCUGCUUUUAUUUUAUUUUGGUUUUGGGGGGAUAAGACUUGCUAUGAGGACAGAUACUGCAGCUUUUUUUUUUUUUUUUAAGAACCAUUUCCUUUUCUUUUAAAUAUCCUUGUAGUCAUUUAACACACUGGUGUUCAUUCUUGCUGCAAAAGAAGGCCAUUGUGCUUCCUGACCCCAAAAGCAAGGAAUGGUGGCUGCUACAUGCAGUUUUAGAUCAAUCUACUAUAGUCAUGCUGCCCUGAGACCCAGAUAAUUCCUCUGUGAACUCUGGACACUCCGAAGUAACUUCUAAUCCAGAGAUGAGGCCCAUGCCUGGAGCUGAGGCCAGAUGUGGAAGGCUCACAGGAUCCACAAGGGAGCUACUUGUGCAGGGCUCACUCUCGACUCCUUCCCACGGCUCCACAAACCAACGUGUCCAACUCAGCUUUCCAGGGCUUCAUUACAAGGUUACCUGGGCAGAGCAGGGAGAGACCAGAGGAGACAAUGUUUAGCCUGAAUUAGCUAUUUACUGGAGCUGAACAUGGAGUGAAAGAAGUGAGCUACAUAAUGUCUGUCUUGAGCCAACUUCCAACACAAGGGCACUGAGCGGAGAGGUGGCACGGCAAUGUUUCAUCUUCUUGUUAUCGUGAAUUAAAGACUCCAGCAGAAGUCCUUCAUCUGGAAAAUAAUGUCUCGAGGGAGUCUUCAAGUUCAAGAAAGGUAUUUCCAAGAAGAUGUAGGAAUAAAGAAAAGCAGAUGCUGACCAGAAAGGUCUCUCUUUCUGUGUGAGCAGUCGGGGGUCAGAAUGAUGGGACUUCCUCAUCCCUGUCCCCUUCUCCCUCAGUCGGCCUUGGGCUGUGUCCUCGCCGCUGAUUAGCAUGACUGCCAAAGAGUACAUGGAAGAAAACUUGAACAGCAAUAUUCCUUGUGGGACAAUUAGCGGAAAAUGAUCAUUUGUUGUGAUUAUUAGAAAAAGGGCUAACGGUGAAAGACGUUUCUGAUGACCUAAAAUCACAAAGCCUGCAGGAGCUUGUUGUUUUCCCUUCCUAGCACUCCAAUUUUCCAGCAUUUUCUAUUGCCAGCAUUCUCUGGCAGCGUGGGCAUGAAGGACCGACCCCCAGGCGGUUGAAGGCAGAUAAAAGGAUGAGGAGCUGGCCAAGGAAGGUCACGGUGCAGGGAAGUAAAAAAUGGAAUCUUACCAAGGGUCAGUGUGUGGCACUCGGGGGAUUCCGGUGCACGUGAGUGAUGGACUUGGGCAGAAGAGAAGACGAAGUGGGCAGCCCAGACGCCGAGGAGCCUCAGCCCAUCUCCUCCCUGUCUAUGGGGCUCGGGGCCUGCACCCCUCCUCUUCCCGUCCGUCAC